GACAGAGGUGCCGAGCGUUAGGCGGAAUCACUGGGCUUAAAGCGUGUGUAGGCGGACCGUUAAGUGUCUUGUGAAAUCCCACGGCUCAACCGUGGAACGGCUGGGCAUACUGGCGGUCUUUGAGAGGCCUAGGGGCGAGCGGAACAGGCGGUGGAGCGGUGAAAUGCGUAGAUAUCGCCUGGAACGCCGACGGUGAAACAGCUCGCUGGGGGCCUUCUGACGCUGAGACACGAAAGCCAGGGGAGCGAACGG
rnacentral:rRNA from 1 species